rnacentral:rRNA from 1 species
CCAGGUUGAUUCUGCCUGACGUGGAUGCUAUUCUCUGGGGCUAAGCCAUGCAUGUUUAUGAAGCCUUUAUGGGGGAUUGACGGACGGCUCAGUGAUAGUACGAUGAUUUGAUUGGGAGCCUGGAUGUAACUGUGGGAAACUGCAGGUAAGUUCUGGGGGGUGGUAGUUUGUAGCUACUGCGUACCGAGUAAGUUGUAGGCCUAUCAGCUGGUAGUUAGGGUAAUGGCCUAACUAGGCGGAGACGGGAGACGGGGGAUCAGGGUUUGGUUCCGGAGAGG